GAUGAACGCUGGCGGCGUGCCUAAUAAAGCCAAGUCAAGCAAACAAAGGGGGACUUUGCUCCUCGGAGUUUAGCGGGGAAGGGGUGGUUAACCCGUGGAAAACCUACCUAUAAGAUGGGGAAAAUUUCGGAAAACGGGAGCUAAUACGGGAUAAAAAAUUGAACCGCAGGGUUCAAUAGUAAAAGAGGGUUUUGCUGUCACUUAUAGAUGGAUCCGCGCCGCAUUAGCUAGUUGGUAAGGUAACGGCUUACCAAGGCGACGAUGCGUAGCCGACCUGAGAGGGUGAUCGGCCACACUGGAACUGAGACACGGUCCAGACUCCUACGGGAGGCAGCAGUAGGGAAUCUUCCGCAAUGGGCGAAAGCCUGACGGAGCAACGCCGCGUGAGUGAUGAAGGUCUUCGGAUCGUAAAACUCUGUUAUUAGGGAAGAACAAAUGUGUAAGUAACUAUGCACGUCUUGACGGUACCUAAUCAGAAAGCCACGGCUAACUACGUG
rnacentral:rRNA from 1 species